AUCCUGCUCUUCCCUCCUAAGUGGUUCAGCUUUCCCAUCCAGUCACCCAUGGGAGCUACCUCUGAGCCGAUGAGAGCGCUCGGCAGUGACCCUGACGGAAGCAACGUCAAUGUUCCGUGCAUAUAUCGAGAUGGCACUAUACCCCUCCCGGGAAUUUGGGGGCGAAGAGUAAGUCGGACAUCUCGCAGUCUGCCGACAUCACAGAGAGCAGGCCUUCUGUCUAAAAAAAGGAGACCAGCUUCCUGUCUAAACCUCAGGACGGGAGGUGGCUUACAGCUGCAGGGUGACACACUUCCCAAUAGGUUUCCACUCGGCAGUAAACAGUGAGUGAAAAGCAGGGAGUCCUACGAAUCCUAACACAUCCUUUCUUACGGUUCCAAUGAGGGGCAGAAAUGAAGUCAUAUCGUUUUAGCUCAGGCUUCCACAUGCUUAUCUAGAGAGGUGCUUUCACUGGGG
rnacentral:lncRNA from 1 species